GAUGAACGCUGGCGGCGUGCCUAAUACAUGCAAGUCGAGCGAACAGACGAGGAGCUUGCUCCUCUGACGUUAGCGGCGGACGGGUGAGUAACACGUGGAUAACCUACCUAUAAGACUGGGAUAACUUCGGGAAACCGGAGCUAAUACCGGAUAAUAUAUUGAACCGCAUGGUUCAAUAGUGAAAGACGGUUUUGCUGUCACUUAUAGAUGGAUCCGCGCCGCAUUAGCUAGUUGGUAAGGUAACGGCUUACCAAGGCAACGAUGCGUAGCCGACCUGAGAGGGUGAUCGGCCACACUGGAACUGAGACACGGUCCAGACUCCUACGGGAGGCAGCAGUAGGGAAUCUUCCGCAAUGGGCGAAAGCCUGACGGAGCAACGCAGCGUGAGUGAUGAAGGUCUUCGGAUCGUAAAACUCUGUUAUUAGGGAAGAACAAAUGUGUAAGUAACUAUGCACGUCUUGACGGUACCUAAUCAGAAAGCCACGGCUAACUACGUG
rnacentral:rRNA from 1 species